GACGAACGCUGGCGGCGUGCCUAAUACAUGCAAGUAGAACGCUGAAGGAGGAGCUUGCUUCUCUGGAUGAGUUGCGAACGGGUGAGUAACGCGUAGGUAACCUGCCUGGUAGCGGGGGAUAACUAUUGGAAACGAUAGCUAAUACCGCAUAAUAGUAGAUGUUGCAUGACAUUUGCUUAAAAGGUGCAAUUGCAUCACUACCAGAUGGACCUGCGUUGUAUUAGCUAGUUGGUGGGGUAACGGCUCACCAAGGCGACGAUACAUAGCCGACCUGAGAGGGGGAACGGCCCCACUGGGACUGAGACCCGGCCCAGACUCCUACGGGAGGCAGCAGUAGGGAAUCUUCGGCAAUGGACGGAAGUCUGACCGAGCAACGCCGCGUGAGUGAAGAAGGUUUUCGGAUCGUAAAGCUCUGUUGUAAGAGAAGAAAGAGUGUGAGAGUGGAAAGUUCACACUGUGACGGUAUCUGACCAGAAAGGGACGGCUAGCUACGUG
rnacentral:rRNA from 1 species